CUUGACGGUGGCUGUGUGCAGGGCGCCCUCGGGCGCGCCGAUAUCCGGGGUUCUCGAUCGGUCGACUAACCUGUGCACAGCCGCCACCUUU
rnacentral:antisense_RNA from 2 species